AUGGGCCAUCCGCCUUCUCAGGGCCGAGACACUGGCCCUCUCCAUCACACGCACCAAGCUCUGUCUUCUCUUCCUUGGAUUCCUCUCCUCAUCCACACAGCCCCCAUUCCCCUCCCACCCCUCUCCCUGUCCACCCCUGCCUCUCUCCACUCUCUCUCCUUAUCUGCUUACAGCUCCUUCAAGUUCGAUGCUGCUCCAACCGCACCAGAUCCCUGGAUAGCCACAUCCUCCGACGAGUCUCCGCAGUGCUAUGCUAUUUCCCAGGUUUUCGGUCUAUUUGAGUGUUCCACAAAGCCGGCCAGGAGAUACUAG
rnacentral:rRNA from 1 species